GAACAACUGUCCUGAGCUGCCGUUCAUGAUUCAGGUUGGCAUCAAUCAAAUUGGAAGCACAUGAAUUAUACAUUAUUGUUUCUGAGCCACAACAGUUAUCUUCUACAGCACAUCUUUUGAGUAAAGACAUGCAAGUAGUACUAAAACGACUGCAAUGUGAUAAUCACGGAGACUGGACUAGUUCAACAUCCAGAUGUUUCGAUUUUUUUGAUAAAUCAAUCUCCAAGGUUCAGCUCAUUCACAGUGUGAGGCUACUUACCUGUUCAAAGUACAUCACUUUUGUCCUCCAGUUUUCAUAUUGGCUUCCUGUCAAAGAUAAGACAUCAUAAAGAAAAUAACACAACUUUUCUAAAGGUCAGUGGGACAUCCUAGAAAAAUGAUGUAUCAAGACCUUUGGUUAAUCAAAUUAAU
rnacentral:lncRNA from 1 species